rnacentral:lncRNA from 1 species
GUAACAAUUUUAUAUGUUGAAACCACAUAUUAUUCCAAAGUAUUUGAGUAUAUGUAGGCAAUAGAGAUGCGGAAAAUCAAGAAUUCUAACUACUAAAAAAAAAGAAUUAUUAACUAUUGCUUGAAAGUUGCCUAGUUUUCAGAAAUUCCAUGAUUUAACACCACCUUAUAAUUCUAUAUUCCAUUUUCAUCUGUUAUAAAGAACAAGUUUUGUGUUCUUGUUCUCUUAUUAAAAACUAACAACUAGCUCCUAAUAGUCAACAAGGUCACCAGUCUUAAACAUUAGAAGUUUAUAGUCAUCACCCCAAGGAUCUGGCUUCUUCUGCAGCAAUUUCAGCAUGCUAAAAACAAAAGAUUUUAUGAUAAGUGCAGAAGGAUUGCUAAUAACCUACAUAAAACGAAAUAUACACCACCAUUUAAAAGAACUUUACUGAAUUCAUAGUCUAGGAUAUUUUCUUAUGGCCAGUUGGCUAAAACAAACAUAGACAUAUUUUAAUUACAAACAGAUUAUGAAAGAAUCUACUUUGCGAAAUGUGGUCUCUUUCAUCAAAAAGAUUACUACUAGGAUAGUAUUGGAAAUAGUUUUUCAGUUUGUUCCCCCUCCCCCUCAGUUCCAUCUAAGUUUUAUAGAGAAAAAGUCUACUACUCUAUAGGCCAUGGUAAUUUAAACAAAAACUCUAGAUAAUUUUUGCUAAAUUCAACUAAUUUGAAAAGAGAUUUAAUAGUUUAGGUAGCUUUACCACCAGAUAUUUGUAUUUACAGAUAUGAAGUUAGAAUACAUAACAAAAACAAAUAUAAUUUUAAAUUAUCUUUCAGUUAAUUAAAAAGACAUUCAAAAUGAUAAGAGUAUGAUAUUUCUAUAUGAAGUUAUAAGGAAAAUUUCUAAGCAUUGUAUAAUAAUGACAAAAUAUUAGUGACAUUAUGUGGUAUUGAAAUUUCCCAUAAUAAUUUUAUUCUAUAUCUAUACAUUUUUCCCUGCAAUGCUUUGGAAGGUAGUCACUUUUGGAUAGAGGAACAGAUGAAUUAAAAUGAAAGGCUUAUAAAACGUUACUAUCAAAUUGCCAGUUUUCUAUAACACCUGCCAUAAUAAGUUGAUUUCAACCAAUUUUCUACUGAAAA